rnacentral:lncRNA from 1 species
GCUCAUCUAAACUUUUAAAAUCUAACCAUGGCUACCAUUUGAGCCAUACUAACAAAACAAAAGAUAAUGUAAUGAAAACUUACUUGUUUUGUUACUAGCUUUUCUUUUUGUUCACCUUAACUUCUUUUUUUCUCCCUCAAGAAGCAAUGGUAGAGUGAAAUACUACAAAUGAGAAUUAAUCCAAAACAAAAAAAAGAAUUUAAUAAUUAUUCAAGAACCAAAGUAUGUAAAAUUAUAAUUUAAUAAAAUAAAAAAUCAAGUUUAUUUUUCUUGAAAAUACUAUAAUUCAAUCAAGUCUAUUUUUCUUCAUCUCAUUAAAGAAAAUUUACAGUAAAAAGACAUUUUCAAUCCAAUAAAAAAGACAUUUUUGAAGGGAAAUUUUACAAUACUAUAAAAUUAUUUUGUGUUCUUGAAAAUACUAUAUGUGAGCAUAUUAUAAUUAUGUGAGUGAGCAUAUAAAAAUUUAAUGCAAUAAAAAUAUUAUAUGUUGAGCAUUAUAUAAUUUAAUUCAAUAAAAAUACAUUUUUACAGAAUAUUAAUACAAAAUUUAAACUAAAAUGUAAUAUGAUUUCAAAUAAUUAAUGGAAAUUAAAAAGAAAACAUUACAAACCUAGACUGGAAGGAAUCGGAGGCAGCGGAAGGUUGCCGGUGGAGGCAGAUGCCGGCAGGUGGCUGGCGACGCAGGCAGCAGGGGAAUCGGCGGCUGGCGGCGUGGGCAGCGUAGGAAUCCGGCGCUGGUGAGGCCCUGUGGAUCCUGGCAGCAGAGGAAACGGCACCGGCGAUGGUGCUGUGGAGGCUGGCGACGCGGGCAGCGGAGGAAAAGGCGCCGGCGAGGGCGUUGUGGCGGCGGCGGCGGGAAAGCCUUGGCAGUGGUGGAUCUUCAAAGCAGCGCCAGAAUACAAGGGAGAACUCGUAGGCGGCGGAGGGGGAGAACGGAUGGGGCGAGGUGAUGGGCCGGACGGGGUUAGUCGCCGACGAUUGGACUCAGAGGGGGAAUUUUGAAGAAGAAGGCUGAUUUCGCGUAAGUGGAGGCGGCGGAAACUGAAAUGGGG